AUGGAAUUUUAUUUGGCAUGAGGUUUUUACCCUGCAUGAUUGUUUGGCCUUUUAUGGCUCUGUGGUGUGUUGUGUUUGGGUUUGACGUGUGUGUGUGUGUGUGUGUGUGUGUGUGUGUGUGUGUGUGUGUGUGUGUGUGUGUGUGUGUGUGUGUGUGUGUGUGUGUGUGUGUGUGUGUGUGUGUGUGUGUGUGUGUGUGUGGGGCUUGCUUUGACAGUGAUAAUGUUCAUAUGGGGGUCUGUGUGAUUGGGUUGGGAUAUUGGAAUGGUCAACUAAAUCAUACCUGAUGGACGGCCACAUGUUUACUUAAGGGCCUCCAGUAGACAUGAAGAGCCCUGAGCGACGCUCCGGAGCGAUAUCCAACACACUGGGCAGGAAGGAGAGUAUCCAACUCGCAUGUAAAAGGAUGCAAGUGACGUGUUCAGAUCAGUGACUUCAAACUAGGACUACAACAAUCAGGAUCAAUGGAGGAUGGACACCAAAAGGAAUUCCACAAGGAGAGUCUGACGUUGGAAAGGGACCUAAAUGGAUAUUCAAGAUGACCUUCAGACCUGUAAUGAGACGGCUCUUCCUACCUGGCUGGAUUGAUGGAGAGCCCUGUGGAUCUUGUCUUGCUCUCAGUUGCACGUCUUCUCAGGCUGAACUGUAUUUGUUUCGGACAGGACUAGCUGAACGAUUGGUUCCCUUGAAUCAGAACCAAUCCGGGAACUCCAGCUAGUGCGCUCUUCGAGCUGAAGUUGUGCUCUUCAGCUGAGGAGGUAAGGAAACCUUCACUGGGGCUUCAAGGUGUAAAGAGGAGAAUGUUUCAUGUGUUCCAUGGUACUCUGAUGAAGACCGUUGUUGUGUUCCACUGGCUGAGAGGAAGAACCCACACAUCUUCCUCUUGGCCUUUCUCCUCUGAGAAUCCUGGCGCCAUCUUGAAGGAUAUUCCAGCUCAUGUAACUGAUGUCACGACAGAUUCUCAAACACUUGGUUUCUCCUGAGGGGCGUGUCUAUGGAACUGAAGACUUCAGACAGCACUGUAUCCCAGCAUACAUCUCUGCUCACUCAGACCACACCCCCAUGAGUAGGAUGCAACACUCUAGUGAUGGAGAUGUAGAGUUUUAUAAGUAACGAGGGAGCAGACUAAGGUGAUUAGACUGUAAAUCUUUAAACCAUGAAGAUGGUUCGAUAGUUCAGGAAUUGGGCUUCUUUUUACUAUGGGCAGUCCUUUCACUCAGAUGCCCACUUCUCACUGGAGCUGUACAUGUGUUGGCUGGCUGGCAUGGUUUGCUGUUGGUGAUGAGGCGGUCAGGGUGACGUUGCAGGGCUAUGGUCGGCUCUCUGUGAGCUCAACGUUUAGAUUUGCUCUGUAUGGUUUGUACCCUGAAUAAUCUAGAUAAUUGUAAAAUGUAGACAGUUUUGUAUUGAAUGAUUUUAGGUUUAAAGUUGUUGUGGGACGUACAUGGUAGUUUGGUUCUUCGUAUGGUUUUGAGUGAUAUAACUUGUACACACUGGGUGCAUAAUAAUGUAAAGGUACAUUUAAUAGUAUUAAUGACCAACAGCAACAAACAGAUCUCCUCAAGGUAAGUCUGUUGGCUGUGUUUUAAUGAAGACCAUCGCUGGACUUCAGGAUCUUCCUCCGUUCAGCUCAAGGUGAGGCGCUGGUUCUGUUUUUCUUUGGUUGGUUCCGGCCGGAAUGUUCGGAUUCCAGUCAGACGGUUUGUGCUUCCCGCCGUGGAAGGUUCUGAGUGCGGUCACUUCAUUUAGUCUGAAUGGUUAGCAUAGAACGUUGUAGUCUGGACAACCAUAAGAAACCACCUGGCAGUUAGUUGGACGGGACUCCCCUGAGGGAAUAUGGAGGAACGUUCUGGAUUGUAUUUGAGUAACCUCGAGCCGUUGCCAACGGAAACAAUUUUUCAGUCGGUUUCCAUUGGGAACUUAAGUUUGAUAUUAAAUACUUACUGACAAGUACGUCGUACAAUAUGUUGAUAAUUUCCGAUCGUUGCGCCGUACUUUUACCCACGAUGACGUGACGGGACUCUCACUGCGUACAAUACAGCGUUCUAAUUGCGGGCCCAUUUGACAUCACGGAAGGCUGAAAAUCAUUUCAAGGUGGAAGAUAAUUUGACGUUUCUUCAACGGAACCCAGCACCUGAAUAUGGCUGAGUAUAUUUGAUUUAAUAUCGAUACUGCUUAGUGUUCUUUGUUACUUCAGCUUUUGUACGUUCUAAAUAUCUGCCGUCAUUAAUUCCCACAGAAGUUAAACCCUAGCCAAUGGAAUGACGUUGAACAACGACUUUGGUGCAGAGUUACCAACUGGAUAAUAUCAAAGCUAAAAUAAUGGCCGUCAUUCCCACAUGUUACAGUAGAAGAUACUCUGUACAAGGUUAAAAAGGUAACAUGUAGUUUGUCCCAAGGUGUUUGCCUCCUCACCCAGAGCAAGACCUCCACCUCCUCACCCAGAGCCAGACCUCCACCUCCUCACCCAGAGCCAGACCUCCACCUCCUCACCCAGAGCCAGACCUCCACCUCCUAUCAGAAGUCUUCCAGAACAGCUUAAAGGCGAGUCUGAGAGGCUGGGGACCAGAGGCUUGUGGUGCCAGGGUGGACCGGAGACUAAGGCUGGAGACCAGGGGCCUGCAGCAUUGGACCAGAGGAUCAGGAAUCCAUGGCUGGAGGAGCUGUGCUGAAGGCCCUGCCUUGUGGAGGAGCUGGUGGAGGCCCUGCCUGGUGAAGGACGUCUGUCGUGGGACCAGGACUCUGUCUGAGGAGAGCUGCUGGAGGAGCUGAGACGCUGGAGGACGACUUUGAAUCGACCAACAAGGAUUCCUCAACGUGUUUCUGGCUGAGGAGAGCUGAUUGAGGAGCCAAGACUCUGGAGGACGACAUCACUCCACCAACCAGGAUCCUCAGACAAAUUACGUUUGCAACCAGACCAGGAAUCUGGAGAACUGAUGGAGAAGCCAUACAUCUGGAAGGCAAAUCCUGAGGACCACCAGGACUCUACCAUCAAGGAUUCCUCAUAAAUGUGCAUUAUCUGGACAUAGUGGACUAGACACACCUGAACUGAACUGAACCUGAUCCUGUUUGGUCGGGGGUAGACACACCUGAGCUAAACCCGCCCUGAUCCUGACAUCCUGCUGGUCCCGUCUCCUCAGUUCAUCUGAGCCUCGUCCUCCAGAAGACCUGCUGAGCUCAGCAGUCUGAGGCUGAUGGAUCAAUGACCUCCAGUGGGAGUGAUCUUCUUGACCCCACAUGUAACCGUGUGCUUCCACACGCCUUUCCCUCACGUCUGUCACUAACCUCACUACUACUCUCUUACUGCUUCCUCUUUUCUUCCUUCUCUGUGGUUCAAACCUUUACACUGAAGGCGCGUCUUCCUGCCCUCAGAGGGUUUAGCGUUAGGGUUGAGAGUCAGGGUUUAGAGGCAGGGACAGAGCUGGUCAGGGAGGACUGCUUUUACACCAACCUCUUCACUUGCUUUCGGAAUGGUGGUGACAUUUUGAAAAGAUUCAUUUGGGAAAAUGUUUUCCUCUGCUUUCCUUUACAAAAUUGUAUUAAACUUCUGUCAAGUGUUUUUGUUCAUAUAUUAAAAUCCCACAUUGACUUCUACAUGUUUGAUGCGGUCAUUUAAUUGUCCUUUUAACUUGGUUAAUGUCAAGCUAAACUCCUGCAAUACAUUUAAUAUACAUGAUUGUUAUUCAGCAUUGUUCACAUAAUCCAUUUCGUAAAAAUAUGAAACCUCCAUAUUGCUACUAAAUUCAAGCCUAUUCAUGUAUUUAACAAUGUAUAUACUGCCCCGCAGGCCAUUCUCUGCUACUACAACACGUUCAAUCCACAAACCCGUCUCACAUCAAUGUACUAUAGCUACGUUGGUUCAAACGGAAAAAGUAGUUUGGUGUGAGACUGAUGUCCAGCAGAGGGAUCUGUCAUACACCCUAAUUAUACACGUCUGUGUAUUUACAUUUAAAAAUGUUCAUGGGGUGUUUCCCAAUGUCAAGGAAGCAUGCUCAACGGCCGCCCUUUUAAGUACACUACGUCAUAGAACGCCGACAAGCACUGUUCCAAUGUUGAGGACACUCGAAAGCCGCGUCAUUUUCGCGUCCUUUGUUUUU